rnacentral:rRNA from 1 species
GAUGAACGCUGGCGGCGUGCCUAAUACAUGCAAGUCGAGCGAACAGACGAGGAGCUUGCUCCUCUGACGUUAGCGGCGGACGGGUGAGUAACACGUGGAUAACCCACCUAUAAGACUGGGAUAACUUCGGGAAACCGGAGCUAAUACCGGAUAAUAUAUUGAACCGCAUGGUUCAAUAGUGAAAGACGGUUUUGCUGUCACUUAUAGAUGGAUCCGCGCCGCAUUAGCUAGUUGGUAAGGUAACGGCUUACCAAGGCAACGAUGCGUAGCCGACCUGAGAGGGUGAUCGGCCACACUGGAACUGAGACACGGUCCAGACUCCUACGGGAGGCAGCAGUAGGGAAUCUUCCGCAAUGGGCGAAAGCCUGACGGAGCAACGCCGCGUGAGUGAUGAAGGUCUUCGGAUCGUAAAACUCUGUUAUUAGGGAAGAACAAAUGUGUAAGUAACUAUGCACGUCUUGACGGUACCUAAUCAGAAAGCCACGGCUAACUACGU